CAGUCGCCGCGGGAAUACGAAGGGGGCUAGCGUUGCUCGGAAUGACUGGGCGUAAAGGGCGCGUAGGCGGCGGCCAAAGUCAGGCGUGAAAUUCCUGGGCUCAACCUGGGGGCUGCGUUUGAUACUUGAUUGCUAGAGUGGGGAAGAGGGUCGUGGAAUUCCCAGUGUAGAGGUGAAAUUCGUAGAUAUUGGGAAGAACACCGGUGGCGAAGGCGGCGACCUGGUCCUUGACUGACGCUGAGGCGCGAAAGCGUGGGGAGCAAACAGGAUUAGAUACCCCAGUAGUCCCUGUCUCUUAUAC
rnacentral:rRNA from 1 species